UACGUAGGGCGCAAGCGUUAUCCGGAAUUAUUGGGCGUAAAGAGCUCGUAGGCGGUUUGUCGCGUCUGCCGUGAAAGUCCGGGGCUCAACUCCGGAUCUGCGGUGGGUACGGGCAGACUAGAGUGAUGUAGGGGAGACUGGAAUUCCUGGUGUAGCGGUGAAAUGCGCAGAUAUCAGGAGGAACACCGAUGGCGAAGGCAGGUCUCUGGGCAUUAACUGACGCUGAGGCGCGAAGGCGUGGGGAGCGAACGGG
rnacentral:rRNA from 1 species